GACGAACGCUGGCGGCGUGCUUAACACAUGCAAGUCGAACGCUGAAGCUUGGUGCUUGCGCUGUUUGGAUGAGUGGCGAACGGAUGAGUAAUACGUGAGUCACCUGCUCUUUAUUCUGGGAUAAGCCUGGGAAACUGGGUCUACUACUAGCUAUUACAUCCCACUGCAUGGUGCUGUGUGUCUUGGGUUUUACUGGUUUUGGAUGGGCUCACGUCCUAUCAGCUUGUUGGUGGGGUAAUGGCCUACCAAGGCGACGAUAGGUAGCCGGCCUGAGAGGUUGAACGGAGACGCGAGGACUAAGAGACGGCACAGACGAGAACAGGAGGCAAGAGGGGAGAAUAUUAUACAGUAGGAGGGAGUAAGAGACGAAGACGCUACGUGAGGGAAGACGGUCUGCGGGGAGAGAACCGCAGCCAGCAAAGAAGAAGCGAGAAUGACGGUACCUGAAGAAGAAGCGCCGGCUAACUCCGUG
rnacentral:rRNA from 1 species